GGGGGUGUAGUUCAGUGGUAGAGUGUUCGCGUGGCAUGUGAAAGACCCUGGGUUCGCUCCCCUGCGCCUCCA